CCUACGGGAGACAGCAGUGAGGAAUAUUGGUCAAUGGGCGUAAGCCUGAACCAGCCAAGUCGCGUGAGGGAUGAAGGUUCUAUGGAUCGUAAACCUCUUUUAUAAGGGAAUAAAGUGUGGGACGUGUCCUGUUUUGUAUGUACCUUAUGAAUAAGGAUCGGCUAACUCCGUGCCAGCAGCUGCGGUAAUACGGAGGAUCCGAGCGUUAUCCGGAUUUAUUGGGUUUAAAGGGUGCGUAGGCGGCCUUUUAAGUCAGCGGUGAAAGUCUGUGGCUCAACCAUAGAAUUGCCGUUGAAACUGGGAGGCUUGAGUAUGUUUGAGGCAGGCGGAAUGCGUGGUGUAGCGGUGAAAUGCUUAGAUAUCACGCAGAACCCCGAUUGCGAAGGCAGCCUGCCAAGCCAUGACUGACGCUGAUGCACGAAAGCGUGGGGAUCAAACAGGAUUAGAUACCCGGGUAGUC
rnacentral:rRNA from 1 species